rnacentral:rRNA from 1 species
UACGUAGGGUGCAAGCGUUGUCCGGAAUUAUUGGGCGUAAAGAGCUCGUAGGCGGUCUGUCGCGUCUGCUGUGAAAACUCAGGGCUUAACCCUGAGCUUGCAGUGGGUACGGGCAGACUAGAGUGCGGUAGGGGAGACUGGAAUUCCUGGUGUAGCGGUGAAAUGCGCAGAUAUCAGGAGGAACACCGGUGGCGAAGGCGGGUCUCUAGUA